CCUACGGGGUGCAGCAGUGGGGGAUAUUGCACAAUGGGGGAAACCCUGAUGCAGCGACGCCGCGUGGGUGAAGAAGGUCUUCGGAUCGUAAACCUCUGUCAGCAGGGAAGAACGGUCACUGUGCUAAUCAGCAGUGAAUUGACGGUACCUGCAAAGGAAGCACCGGCUAACUCCGUGCCAGCAGCCGCGGUAAUACGGAGGGUGCGAGCGUUAAUCGGAAUUACUGGGCGUAAAGCGCUCGUAGGCGGUAUGUCAAGUCAAGGGUGAAAUCCCCGCGCUCAACGUGGGAACUGCCUUUGAAACUGGCAAACUGGAGUGUGUGAGAGGAGAGUGGAAGUCCAGGUGUAGGAGUGAAAGCCGGAGAUAUCUGGAGGAACAUCAGUGGCGAAGGCGACUAUCUGGCACAUAACUGACGCUGAGGAGCGAAAGCGUGGGUAGCAAACAGGAUUAGAUACCCGGGUAGUC
rnacentral:rRNA from 1 species